AGUGAACGCUGGCGGUAGGCCUAACACAUGCAAGUCGAACGGCAGCACAGUAAGAGCUUGCUCUUACGGGUGGCGAGUGGCGGACGGGUGAGGAAUACAUCGGAAUCUACUUUUUCGUGGGGGAUAACGUAGGGAAACUUACGCUAAUACCGCAUACGACCUACGGGUGAAAGCAGGGGAUCUUCGGACCUUGCGCGAUUGAAUGAGCCGAUGUCGGAUUAGCUAGUUGGCGGGGUAAAGGCCCACCAAGGCGACGAUCCGUAGCUGGUCUGAGAGGAUGAUCAGCCACACUGGAACUGAGACACGGUCCAGACUCCUACGGGAGACAGCAGUGGGGAAUAUUGGACAAUGGGCGCAAGCCUGAUCCAGCCAUACCGCGUGGGUGAAGAAGGCCUUCGGGUUGUAAAGCCCUUUUGUUGGGAAAGAAAAGCAGCAGGUUAAUACCCCGCUGUUCUGACGGUACCCAAAGAAUAAGCACCGGCUAACUUCAUG
rnacentral:rRNA from 1 species